rnacentral:RNase_P_RNA from 1 species
AGUCGGUCAGACGGUUGCGGGCAGAAAUGCCCGAGGAAAGUCCGAGCCCCGCAGGGCAGAAUAGCGGCUAACGGCCGCCGAGGGUGACCUUAGGGAAAGUGCAACAGAGAUAUACCGCCGCAAAGGGCUUUGCCUUUGCGGUAAGGGUGGAAAGGCGAGGUAAGAGCUCACCGGUCUUACGGGAACGUCAAGACCCUGCAAACCCUAUUCGGAGCAACGCUGACUGUAACGAUACGCCUGCCCGGCGUGUUACGAAAAGCGGCAUGAGCGCAGGGAGCAAUCCCGCGUCGAGAUAGAUAACCGUCCGCGACAGAACUCGGCUUACCGACCGACUCAU